ACUUUGAUAUUAGGUAGCAUUUGGGGGUAACAUUUAAAUUUUUUUUAUAAUUUUGUUUAUGUUUUUUAUUCGAAUAAAAACACUUAAUAUGAUAUUCUCAAUUUUUUUUUUGCAUAUUUGAAAUAAACCCACAGUCACAACUUUCUUCGUCCCUCAAGCUUUCAGCUUUUCACCCCCUUCUUGCUCUCUCCACUGAAGCCCCCGUCCACCGCAGUCCGCAACCUAUCUCCAUCGCAACAACCCGUACCAGCGAUUGAUACCUCUUGGCCUCCAUCUUCAACGGCUUCCUCCUUUUAGUUAGGGUUACGGUUAGUUCAGACUGGGUGAUAUUACUUCAAUUUGCACCCUUCUUGCUUGGCACACCCUUGGUUAAGUGAUGAUUUCUCUUCCUCCAAUCGUCUUGAUCGUAACUCUGAGGGUAUAGCUGCUUGGAAGGCAGGAGCCACUACUUUCAAGAUGGAGGUCUUAAUCAUACUUAGGCUCUGUACUGGAACAGUAAGGAUCAGGGGGAAACUCAAGAGGAUGAAAGUAGUAGCUUCAAACACAAAAGAAAUUGUUCGUGUUGCUUCUAUUUAAGCUGUUCAAUCCUAGUUUGUGGACACGAAAAUAGUCUUAAAACACCAAAAAAAAACAACACUUAGAUCAAGGGUUGCAAGGGGGAGAUUCAACGCAAAGAAAAAUCCAAUUAGGAAUGGAUUUGGAUAUGAUGUAGAUGACACAACAACAGAUUGGAACACCUGUCCACCAACAUCAAGAUAGAGUAGCAUAACAAUCUAAGAGGAAGGUCUAUAUCAAACUUCCAAACUGAGAUUAGGCAAGUAAUAGGCAAGACUACUACAUAAAAAAAUACACCAGUAUAUCAUUUCACAGUAAGGAAGGGGAGGAGGUUGAGAUUAGAAAUGGUGUCCAAACUUAGAUAGGGUAGAGUAAGGCAAUGGUGUUAUGCUGUUGUUACUGAUGUCAGUUGCUUAUACUGUUGUUUGUUGCUGCUACUACUGUCUGCUGCUGCUAUUUUCUACGACUACCAAUGUUUGCUGCUACUGCUGUCAUCUGGUAUUAAUGGUUGCUGGUACUGGUUAGCUGUUGUUUUCGCUAGCUAGCUGCGGCUAUGUGCUAUUAUUACUAUUGUUUGUUGCAUCCGCGCUGAUUGUAUGUUUGUAUAGAAAUUGGAGGUCUCAAGAGACUUAAGUUCACUUCAUUUCGAUUA